ensembl:lncRNA
CAGAGGGGGUUGCAGGGCUGCGAGGGCACAGAAAGCAUGGCUGGAUGGAGAGGUGCUGGGAAAUGUGGUGCACCCGCCUGCUUUGUCCUCAGUGGUGCAUGGAGCUGCAGCUGCUCCCAUCGUGGUUUUGUGCCCUAAUUGUUGGUCUCUGGUUGACCCCCAAUGAGGGCGGGUUGGCUCUCUCUCAUUGCCUUGGGCUGAUCUCCUCCUUGGCCAUCAGGAAUCGCUAUCGCGGAGGACUCGUUGCCAAGCUGUCUGCAGAGAAGACGUUUCUUGGACUGGAGGCUCUCCUCUCUCCUCCUUCCAUCCCCUCCUUUGCCAGAAUUCUGCUGUGGCCACGGAUAACGCCUGUGAAAUUCAACUGUAAAGAUGGUUUUCUGGAGAAAUGUAGGCUGUGAAAUCGGGCUUAGAAGUGAGCGCAAACGACACCCUUAACUGUGGAGUCCUUAGCCGGGCUUAGAAGGAUGCUAAUCCCCAUCUGCCAUAGAGGCUAGAGAGACCUGGAAUAAGAGAGCAGUCCAUGCUGGACCCUGCUGAGCUGCUUGACCCCAUGGGCGAACUGAUG